rnacentral:rRNA from 1 species
UACGUAGGGGGCAAGCGUUGUCCGGAAUCAUUGGGCGUAAAGCGCGUGUAGGCGGCUCGGUAAGUCCGCUCUGAAAGUCCAGGGCUCAACCCUGGGAUGCGGGUGGAUACUGCCGGGCUCGAGUCCGGAAGAGGCGAGUGGAAUUCCCGGUGUAGCGGUGAAAUGCGCAGAUAUCGGGAGGAACACCUAUGGCGAAGGCAGCUCGCUGGGACGUUACUGACGCUGAGACGCGAAAGCGUGGGGAGCAAACAGG